AAGACUCACCCAGGCAGAACGAUCUAGGUCUCAGAAGCCUCAGCUGGAGUUCUGGACCAACUGUCGCAGGGAACAAUGAAGUUUCUGGCAGCUAUCUGUCUGCUCGCCACGACCGCGAGUGCACAGGUUGGGUAUUCAGGGAUUGUUAGUCCUGAUGGAAACAACGUCCAGUUCACGCAUGACUUUGCUCAUAGCAUUGUGCUCAGUGGACCUUCUGGCAUCGUGACAAGUGAUGGUAAGAACCUCCAGCUGACCGGAGGCCAGGCUGCCCUCCACGCUGCCUCCCCACCGGCACCUCAGCCUGUGCCUCAGCUUGUUAUUUCCCGCAGCGUCGUUGGUCCCUCAGGAAUCGUGAGUCCUGCCGGAAAUGUUCAGUUCACUCAAGAGAUGGUUGACGACAACGUAUUGGUUGGUCCCUCCGGCAUUGUGACCAAGAGCGGCCAAAACAUCCAGUUCAACGACCAAGGGCUUCCUCGCACCAAGCGCAGCGCCGGCUACGUCUUGCCCGCGGGCAACCUGGGUCAUUCUGGCAUCGUUAGGGCCGACGGCACCUUUGAACAGUUCAGCCACGACUUCGCUCACGAUAUUGUGGUUAUUGGACCUUCCGGCUUCGUGACCAAGAGCGGAAAGAACAUCCAGCUAAAUGCUGACCUCCACAGAGUCAAGCGUGACCUUAGGGGUCCCUCUGGCAUGAUCCUUAAGGACGGCACUCAGGUGCAGUUCAAGACCGGCGAAACCACCGUCGUUCUUGAUGGCCCAUCUGGACUGGUUCUCAGCGACGGUACAUUGGUGCAGAGACGUGCAAAGCGUGACCUUGUGGGUCCCUCUGGCAUGAUCCUUGAUGACGGCACUCAGGUGCAGUUCAAGGAGGGCUUUGCCACUGUCGUAUUGGAUGGUCCCUCUGGAAUGCUGCUCAGCGACGGCACUCUGGUGCAAAAGCGUGCCAAGCGUAACCUCGUUGGACCCUCUGGCAUGAUCACCGCUGACGGCACCCCUAUCCAGUUCCCCGCCCACGCUGAGGCCGUCGUCACUGGCCCAUCUGGCAUUGUCUUCUCCAACGGACAGAACGUUCAGCUUCCUUAGAAAGACCACCGCAUAUGCACCAGGACUCUAGUCUAUACAUUCUUCCUGCUGACUUCUCUGCAUUUUUGACAAACGUUAGUUAUUCAUUACGAUGUACAGGUAAAAGAUUCCCGUAUAUAUAUAUAUACGAAUAAAUGUAACUGAAGCCGU
rnacentral:misc_RNA from 1 species